UCCCUGGUGGCUCAGAUGGUAAAGUAUCUGCCUGCAAUGCGGGAGACCUGGGUUCAAUCCCUGGGUCGGGAA
rnacentral:tRNA from 1 species